UACGUAGGGGGCAAGCGUUGUCCGGAUUUAUUGGGCGUAAAGAGCGUGUAGGCGGCCGUACAGGUCAGCUGUGAAAACUCGAGGCUCAACCUCGAGACGCCGGUGGAAACCAUCAGACUAGAGUCCGGAAGAGGAGAGUGGAAUUCCUGGUGUAGCGGUGAAAUGCGCAGAUAUCAGGAAGAACACCCGUGGCUAAGGCGGCUCUCUAGUACGGUACUGACGCUGAGACGCGAAAGCGUGGGGAGCGAACAGG
rnacentral:rRNA from 1 species